UGAGGAAUAUUGGUCAAUGGGCGGAAGCCUGAACCAGCCAAGUCGCGUGAGGGAAGACGGUCCUAUGGAUUGUAAACCUCUUUUGUCGGGGAGCAAAGCCAGUCUCGUGAGACUGGAAGGAGAGUACCCGAAGAAAAAUGCAUCGGCUAACUCCGUGCCAGCAGCCGCGGUAAUACGGAGGAUGCGAGCGUUAUCCGGAUUUAUUGGGUUUAAAGGGUGCGUAGGCGGAACCUUAAGUCAGCGGUAAAAGUGUCGGUGCUCAACGCCGGCCGGCCGUUGAAACUGAGGUUCUUGAGUGAGCGAGAAGUAUGCGGAAUGCGUGGUGUAGCGGUGAAAUGCAUAGAUAUCACGCAGAACUCCGAUUGCGAAGGCAGCAUACCGGCGCUCAAACUGACGCUGAGGCACGAAAGCGUGGGGAUCGAACAGGAUUAGAUACC
rnacentral:rRNA from 1 species